AAAUUGAAGAGUUUGAUCAUGGCUCAGAUUGAACGCUGGCGGCAGGCCUAACACAUGCAAGUCGAACGGUAACAGGAAGCAGCUUGCUGCUUUGCUGACGAGUGGCGGACGGGUGAGUAAUGUCUGGGAAACUGCCUGAUGGAGGGGGAUAACUACUGGAAACGGUGGCUAAUACCGCAUAACGUCGCAAGACCAAAGAGGGGGACCUUCGGGCCUCUUGCCAUAAGAUGUGCCCAGAUGGGAUUAGCUAGUUGGUGAGGUAACGGCUCACCAAGGCGACGAUCCCUAGCUGGUCUGAGAGGAUGACCAGCCACACUGGAACUGAGACACGGUCCAGACUCCUACGGGAGGCAGCAGUGGGGAAUAUUGCACAAUGGGCGCAAGCCUGAUGCAGCCAUGCCGCGUGUAUGAAGAAGGCCUUCGGGUUGUAAAGUACUUUCAGCGGGGAGGAAGGUGUUGUGGUUAAUAACCGCAGCAAUUGACGUUACCCGCAGAAGAAGCACCGGCUAACUCCGUGCCAGCAGCCGCGGUAAUACGGAGGGUGCAAGCGUUAAUCGGAAUUACUGGGCGUAAAGCGCACGCAGGCGGUCUGUCAAGUCGGAUGUGAAAUCCCCGGGCUCAACCUGGGAACUGCAUUUGAAACUGGCAGGCUUGAGUCUUGUAGAGGGGGGUAGAAUUCCAGGUGUAGCGGUGAAAUGCGUAGAGAUCUGGAGGAAUACCGGUGGCGAAGGCGGCCCCCUGGACAAAGACUGACGCUCAGGUGCGAAAGCGUGGGGAGCAAACAGGAUUAGAUACCCUGGUAGUCCACGCCGUAAACGAUGUCUACUUGGAGGUUGUGCCCUUGAGGCGUGGCUUCCGGAGCUAACGCGUUAAGUAGACCGCCUGGGGAGUACGGCCGCAAGGUUAAAACUCAAAUGAAUUGACGGGGGCCCGCACAAGCGGUGGAGCAUGUGGUUUAAUUCGAUGCAACGCGAAGAACCUUACCUGGUCUUGACAUCCACGGAAGUUUUCAGAGAUGAGAAUGUGCCUUCGGGAACCGUGAGACAGGUGCUGCAUGGCUGUCGUCAGCUCGUGUUGUGAAAUGUUGGGUUAAGUCCCGCAACGAGCGCAACCCUUAUCCUUUGUUGCCAGCGGUCCGGCCGGGAACUCAAAGGAGACUGCCAGUGAUAAACUGGAGGAAGGUGGGGAUGACGUCAAGUCAUCAUGGCCCUUACGACCAGGGCUACACACGUGCUACAAUGGCGCAUACAAAGAGAAGCGACCUCGCGAGAGCAAGCGGACCUCAUAAAGUGCGUCGUAGUCCGGAUUGGAGUCUGCAACUCGACUCCAUGAAGUCGGAAUCGCUAGUAAUCGUGGAUCAGAAUGCCACGGUGAAUACGUUCCCGGGCCUUGUACACACCGCCCGUCACACCAUGGGAGUGGGUUGCAAAAGAAGUAGGUAGCUUAACCUUCGGGAGGGCGCUUACCACUUUGUGAUUCAUGACUGGGGUGAAGUCGUAACAAGGUAACCGUAGGGGAACCUGCGGUUGGAUCACCUCCUUA
rnacentral:rRNA from 1 species